rnacentral:rRNA from 1 species
UAGGGAAUCUUCCACAAUGGACGCAAGUCUGAUGGAGCAACGCCGCGUGAGUGAAGAAGGUUUUCGGACCGUAAAGCUCUGUUGUUGGUGAAGAAGGAUAGAGGUAGUAACUGGCCCUUUAUUUGACGGUAAUCAACCAGAAAGUCACGGCUAACUACGUGCCAGCAGCCGCGGUAAUACGUAGGUGGCAAGCGUUGUCCGGAUUUAUUGGGCGUAAAGCGAGCGCAGGCGGAAGAAUAAGUCUGAUGUGAAAGCCCUCGGCUUAACCGAGGAAUUGCAUCGGAAACUGUUUUUCUUGAGUGCAGAAGAGGAGAGUAGAACUCCAUGUGUAGCGGUGGAAUGCGUAGAUAUAUGGAAGAAUACCAGUGGCGAAGGCGGCUCUCUGGUCUGCAACUGACGCUGAGGCUCGAAAGCAUGGGUAGCGAACAGGAUUAGAUACCCUG